CCUGGCUCUGAUCCUUGGCUUCAGAAGUCAGUCACUUGUGUUCUCGGUUCUCACUGAGAGUGAGAGGAGCCAACGAGUACACCUCACGUAUCGGUGUGAUCAAGCUCUGGUAACUAUGUAUAAGAAACGUAAGUGGAACGACGUUUACGUUCGUUAUGGUUUUACCUGUAUGACUGAGGCAGAUGGAACUCGACGACCACACUGCAUACUCUGCAGCACAGUAUUUACAAAUGCAAAUCUCAGACCAUCAAGACUCAAUGAGCACUUCAACAAUCGGCAUGGAGGCACAGAUGCUGGACAGGACUUAAACAGCUUGAAGAUCAAGCGGGAACGAUUUGGUCGUAGUGGUACCAUGUCAAAUCUAGGUUUUGUGCCAGUUGAGAAACCUUUGUUGCAAGCAUCUUAUGAAGUUCCCCUUUUGUGUGCAAAGAAGAAAAAAAAAUAUCACUAUUGCAGAGGAGCUUGUUAAACCUUGUGCAUUAGAAAUGGCAAAAAUAGUGUUAGGAACAGAAGCUGAAAAGAAGCUUUUAAACAGGUAUCUCUAUCAAAUGACAUUAUCCAUUCAAGGAUUAAUGAUAUGAGUCGAGAUAUCUUGCAGUAGGUGGUAACAGACCUGCAGCUAGUCCUGUCAAAGUGAGUAUUCAGCUGGAUGAGUCAACUGACGGUAGUUUUUGUAGUCAGUUGAUGGCAUUUGUUCGCUAUGAAAAAGAGAAAGAAGUGGUGGAAGAA